CCUACGGGAGGCAGCAGUGGGGAAUAUUGGACAAUGGGCGAAAGCCUGAUCCAGCAAUGCCGCGUGAGUGAUGAAGGCCUUAGGGUUGUAAAGCUCUUUUACCAGGGAUGAUAAUGACAGUACCUGGAGAAUAAGCUCCGGCUAACUCCGUGCCAGCAGCCGCGGUAAUACGGAGGGAGCUAGCGUUGUUCGGAAUUACUGGGCGUAAAGCGUACGUAGGCGGUUAUUCAAGUCAGAGGUGAAAGCCUGGAGCUCAACUCCAGAACUGCCUUUGAAACUAGGUAGCUAGAAUCACGGAGAGGUUAGUGGAAUUCCGAGUGUAGAGGUGAAAUUCGUAGAUAUUCGGAAGAACACCAGUGGCGAAGGCGACUAACUGGACGUGUAUUGACGCUGAGGUACGAAAGCGUGGGGAGCAAACAGGAUUAGAUACCCUGGUAGUCCACGCCGUAAACGAUGAUAACUAGCUGUUCGGUCUCUACGAGACUAGAGUGGCGCGAGCUACGACAUUAAGUUAGUCCGUCCGUCGGGAGGUACGGUCGCGAAGAAGUUAAACGUAACGAAAGGAAGUAGUACGCGUUGUAGAGUUGCGAGGACGACGACGAGGGAGAGG
rnacentral:rRNA from 1 species